rnacentral:rRNA from 1 species
UACAGAGGUCCCAAGCGUUGUUCGGAUUCACUGGGCGUAAAGGGUGCGUAGGUGGUGAGGUAAGUCGGAUGUGAAAUCUCCGAGCUCAACUCGGAAAUGGCAUUGGAAACUACCUUGCUCGAGGGUUGGAGGGGGGACUGGAAUGCUUGGUGUAGCAGUGAAAUGCGUAGAUAUCAAGCGGAACACCAGUGGCGAAGGCGGCGACCUGGUCCAUUUCUGACGCUGAGGCACGAAAGCCGGAGGAGCAAACAGG